rnacentral:rRNA from 1 species
AUUGAACGCUGGCGGCGUGCUUAACACAUGCAAGUCGAUCGGUAACAGGUGUAGCAAUACAUGCUGACGAGAGGCGGACGGGUGAGGAAUAUUUGGGAAUCUGCCCAUCAGCGGGGGACAACCCGGGGAAACCCGGGCUAAUACCGCAUACGCUCUACGGAGGAAAGCCGGGGACCGCCAGGCCUGGCACUGAUGGAUGAGCCCAAAUCGGAUUAGCUAGUUGGCGGGGUAACGGCCCACCAAGGCGACGAUCCGUAGCUGGGCUAAGAGGACGAUCAGCCACACCGGAACUGAGACACGGUCCGGACUCCUACGGGAGGCAGCAGUGGGGAAUAUUGGACAAUGGGGGAAACCCUGAUCAGCGACGCCGCGUGGGUGAGGAAGGCCUGCGGGUUGUAAAGCCCUUUCGGUAGGGACGAAAGCUCUUGCUCCAACAAAGCAGGAGGUUGACUUAACCUACAUAAGAAGCACCGGCUAACUCUGUGCCAGCCGCCGCGGUAAUAC